GCCGGGCACGGUGGCGUGUGCCUGUAGUCCCAGCUAUUCAGGAGGCUGAGGUGGGAGGAUCGUUUGAGCCCAGGAGUUCUGGGCUGUAGUGCACUUUGCCGAUCAGGUGUCCGCACUAAGUUCGGCAUCAAUAUGGUGACCUCCCGGGAGUGGGGGACCAGCAGGUGAACCGGCCCAGGUCGGAAACCGAGCAGGUCAAAACUCCCGUGCUGAUCAGUAAUGGGAUCGUGCCUGUGAAUAGCCACUGCCCUCCACACUCCAGCCUGGGCAACACAGUGAGACCCCGUCUCU
ensembl:misc_RNA Metazoa_SRP Metazoan signal recognition particle RNA